GAGCGCCGCAGCACCCAGGCCUGCGCGGCAUCUGGUGGCAGUCGGGACAUGAGGCUCUGCCUGCAGUCAGCAACUUGGAAUAUUCAGACUUCAGACCGGCAUCACAGAUUAUCCCUCCGUAAAUCACCCACAGCCCAGCUCCCAUCAAAAGCCAGCCUGAAAGACCCAUGGACACGUGACUCCAGUGUUCUCAACAACAUCUUAAGAUCAAGUUGGUUUGCGCAACGUUUGCAUCUACUUGGGACAAAGCAAGAACAAUAAGGGUAAAAAA
rnacentral:sRNA from 1 species